ensembl:lncRNA
AUGGGGGACCCAAUAAAACAUAUAAAUGAAGGUCUUGGGAACCCAUGUGUUGCCCACUGAGGGAUAUCCCAUGCACUUAAAAGUUUGGCAAUGGGGGAUCCCAAUACACUAGGAGGUUUGGGAUCCACUAUAAGGUUUGGCCAUUGAGGACCCCAAUACACUAUGAGGUUUGGGAUCCAAUGUGAGGUUUGCCCAUGGGGGAUCCCAAUACAAGGUUUGGCCAUGGGGGACCCCAAUACAUUAUGCGGUCUGGAACCCAUUGGUUUGGCCACGAGGGAUCCCCAAUACACUAUGAGGUUUGGCAAAUGGGGGAUCCCAAUACACCUUGAAGUCUGGGACCCAUUGGUUUGGCAAUGGGGGAUCCCAACACACCUUGAGGUUUGGGAUCCAAUAUGAGUUUUGGCCAUGGGGGACCCCGAUACACUAUGAGGUCUAGGACCCAUUGGUUUGGCUAUGGGGGAUCCCAAUACACCUUGAGGUUUGGGAUCCAAUAUAAGGUUUGGCAAUGGAGGACCCCAACACACUAUGAGGUUUGGAACCCAUUGGUUUGGCCAUUGGGGGAUCCCAAUACACAAUUGAGGUCUGGGAUCUAUUGGUUGGUCUAUGGGGAUCCUAUGACACAAUUAAGGUUUGGCAAUGGGGGACCCCAAUACACCUUGAGUUUGGGAUCCACUAUAAGGUUUGGCCAUGGGGGAUCCCAAUACACUAUGAGGUUUGAGACCCAUUGGUUUGUCCAUAGUGGACCCCAAUACACCAUGAGGUCUGGGAUCCACUCUAAUGGGAUCCCAAUACACCUUUAGUUUGGGAUCCCCCCGUUGGGUUCCGGUCGAUCCCACCCCUUGUGAGUCCGGGACGUGGCGGUUUCGGUUCGUAGAGCAGAACCGGGUCACGGGACCGGCUCUAUUGGGUUCUAUGGGGGGGUCCCCAACCGGGGGGUCCCAACUUGGGGGUCCCGAGCACCGCGGGGAUCCCCGGCACCGCCAUGUUGGACCCCGUUACCCAACCCCCCCCCAACCCCCUCCCGGGACCCCCCCGGUACCGGACCCUCCCCCAUAUCGGUCACCAUAGUAACGAACCCCCCGCUGUCCGUCCAUCCGCCAUUACCGGCCGCUCCGCCGCCCUCUCCCCGCCGCUCCGCCGCACCGACCGGAAGUAGCGCCGCGCCACGCCGCACGCUCCCGCCUCCUUCCUACGCUGACCAAUCAGAAAGCACCCACCCCUCGGGGUGUUGCAAGCGACGCGCGCUGAUUGGUUUAUCCCGCUGCCCGUCAGCGCGUUGUCCCGCCUCACUCCAUCAGUCCCCCUCCUCGUGGCCCCGCCCACUCGUUCCCCGCCGCGGGCGCUGAUUGGAUGGAAAGCGCCACGUCCUCAAGCGCGCGCCGGAGGAUGGCCACGCCCACAUCGGCGCGUCGACGCACUGCGCAUGCGCGGGGAGAGAGCGGAGGGACGGAGCGGAGGUCACGUGGGGGGGUCGGAUACGGAGUGGGGGAGGGGCUGGGAUUGGGGUCAGGGAUGGGAUUAAGGGUUGGGGUUGGGAUUAAGGGUUGGGAUGGGAUUAAGGGUUGGGGUUGGGAUUAGGGAUUAGGGGUUGGGGUUAAGGAUUAAGGGUUGGGGUUGGGAUUAGGGAUUAGGG